rnacentral:rRNA from 1 species
UGGCGACCGGCGCACGGGUGAGUAACGCGUAUCCAACCUGCCGAUGACUCGGGGAUAGCCUUUCGAAAGAAAGAUUAAUACCCGAUGGCAUAGUUCUUCCGCAUGGUGGAACUAUUAAAGAAUUUCGGUCAUCGAUGGGGAUGCGUUCCAUUAGGUUGUUGGCGGGGUAACGGCCCACCAAGCCUUCGAUGGAUAGGGGUUCUGAGAGGAAGGUCCCCCACAUUGGAACUGAGACACGGUCCAAACUCCUACGGGAGGCAGCAUG